GUGCUUGCUUUGGGAGCACAUAUACUAAAAUUGGAACUCUACAGAGAAGAUUGAUUUGGCUUACAUGAGGAUGACACUCAAAUUUGUGAAUCAUUCCAUAUUUCU